rnacentral:rRNA from 1 species
UUUUAGUAGAUGAUUUAUUAAUUUUAUUGGUGGUGUAUAGCACUGAAUAUCUAGUAAUAUUGAUUAUUAGAAGGGAGUAUGAAAGUACUUACUUUGGAUAUUUAAUCUCAGAAUAACUGAUAAAGUAAUAAGAUAAGUUAUCAGACUUUUUGCGAUAAGGUGAG